GGUUCAUUGGUUGCAUCUGGUGCAUUUCACAUAAGAGGGAAGCGGACAAUACAUUUGUGUCCUCCACUGUUUGGCAGUUUAUCGUCUCCCAAACACGGUUAAAGACUUUUUGAAGUAAAGAGGAGCAUCUCAUCUGGACCUGAUGUAUAUCAUGGAUAUCUAACUGCAGUACUGUGAGUAUCCCAACUUUAACAUGAAGAUGAACUGCGAACUGUAAGUCAUUAGUUUCUCAUUACUCUUGGGCACAUUGAUGUAUGUUGGCUUCCUGGUGAGUUAACCCGUUAGCUGAAGGUUGA